AGAGUUUGAUCCUGGCUCAGAACGAACGCUGGUAGCGUGGAUUAGGCAUGCAAGUCGAACGGGAUCACCUGGAUAGCAAUAUUCGGGUGUGAGAGUGGCGGAUUGGGGAGGAACACGUGAACAACCUGCCCUUGAGUUCGGGAAAACCAUUGGAAACGAUGGCUAAUACCGGAUGUGGCGUCUGAGGACAUCCUCGGAACGCUAAAGGGGGCCGCAAGGCUCCCGCUCAUCGAGGGGUUCGCGCACCAUCAGCUUGUUGGCGGGGUAACGGCCCACCAAGGCCUACGGUUAGCUGGUCUGAGAGGAUGACCAGCCCCACUGGGACUGAGAUACUGCCCAGACUCCUACGGGAGGCUGCAGUCGAGGAUCAUUUGCAAUGGGCGAAAGCCUGACAAUGCGACGCUGCGUGGAGGAUGAAGGCCUUCGGGUUGUAAACUCCUGUCAUAGGGGAACAGGCGAGGGGACCUAAUACGUCCCUUAGUUGAGUGUACCCUAAGAGGAAGCGACGGCUAACUCUGUGCCAGCAGCCGCGGUAAUACAGAGGUCGCAAGCGUUGUUCGGAUUUACUGGGCGUAAAGGGCGCGUAGGCGGUGAGGCGUGUCAAGUGUGAAAUCUCCGGGCUCAACCCGGAAAGUGCGCUUGAAACUACCCCACUCGAGUCCGGGAGAGGGAAUCGGAAUAUAGGGUGUAGCGGUGAAAUGCGUUGAUAUCCUAUAGAACACCGGAGGGGAAGGCGGAUUCCUUGUACGGUAUUGACGCUGAGGCGCGAAAGUCGGGGGAGCAAACAGGAUUAGAUACCCUGGUAGUCCCGACCUUAAACGGUGCA
rnacentral:rRNA from 1 species